UGAGUAACGCGUGAGCAACCUGUCCCUUACAGGGGGAUAACACAGCGAAAGUUGUACUAAUACCGCAGUAAGACCACGGGAGGACAUCCUUCAGGGGUCAAAGGAGCAAUCCGGUAAGGGGUGGGCUCGCGUCCGAUUAGAUACGUUGGUGAGGUAACGGCCCACCAAGUCGACGAUCGGUAGCCGACCUGAGAGGGUGAUCGGCCACAUUGGGACUGAGACACGGGCCCAAACUCCUACGGGAGGCAGCAGUGGGGAAUAUUGGGCAAAUGGGGGGAACCCUGACCCAGCAACGCCGCGUGAGGGAAGAAGGUUUUCGGAUCGUAAACCUCUGUCCUUGGUGAAGAGGAAGAGACGGUAGCCAAGGAGGAACGCCCCGGCUAACUACGUGCCAGCCGCCGC
rnacentral:rRNA from 1 species